AAUAAAAAUUUUCAGCUACCUAAGAUUUUUCUUUUUUUUGGUGAGGAAGAUUGGUCCUGAGCCAACAUCUGUUGCCAAUCCUCUUCCUUUUACUUGAGGAAGAUCGUCACUGAACUAACAUCUGUGCCAAUCUUCCUCUACUUUGUCUGUGGGAUGCCACCACAGUAUGGCUUGAUGAGCAGUGUGUAGGUCUGUGCCUGGGAUCCAAACCCACAAACCCCAGGCUGCCAAUGCAGAGCACACAAACUUAGCCACUAUGCCACUGGGCCAGCCCCAGAUUUAUCUAAAUUUAUGCUCUAUCAGAAGCCCCAUGAAGGGCUUAGACUAGAUGAUCUCCCAAAUAUUUUUCAGUUGUAAAAGUCUGUGAUUCAGAGUCUCAAUAUUAUAAAUUCUGGGUUUAUUGAAUCUGAAUUCAAAAGGUUUUCCUGUCUUUAAAAUACAACUUAAAAGUCAUGUUGUAAAGACUUUAGGAGCUGGAAAGUUUUCUAGUGUCCCAUCUGCCUCUUCCUCCCACCUGAGCCUUUGUUGACUCACCCGUCAAGUGAGGACAGUAAUACCUACCAGUAGAAUCACUGUGAGGAUUAGAGAAAAUGGACACACAGCACCUAAAAUAGUGUCUGUCUUGCAGUGAUGUUCAGUCAUCGUGGAGACUGCUGGGUCUAUUGGUGUCUGCAGCAUUUGCCGACAGAUGUUACUCUUAGGUUGAUGCACUUGCCUCACCUAAUCUCUUUCUUCUAAAAUUAUACAACUUAAUGGUUAAUGAUGAUGGUGUCACCCCUGGGUUCAAACAUCUGCUCUAUCAGCAACUCACUAGCUGUAUGAUCAGCAACUCACUGGCUGUAUGAUAAGAAGCAAUUUACUGAAUCGUCCAUAAACUCUCCUCUAUAAAGUAGAAAAUAAUUGUACCAAAUUAAUGGACCUAGUUUAGGGAGAUAAUGCAUGGAAGUCUGAUUUUGCCCCGCAUUUUAUCCCCAUUACCUAGCAUAGCACCUGGUAUACAGUAAGCACUCAAUAAAUACUAAGAUUUAUCUAUUAGGUAUAAUUAUUCUAUUAUUUAAUUAUAAUUUAAUAUUAGGUAUGUUAUCUAUUUAUCUAUCAUCAUCAUCAUCAAUGAACUUGUUCUAUUUCUCUCUCACAUCUUCUUUGGUUUAGAAGUGGUAGUUACAUAUUUUAACAAAAGUGGGUUUUGGUUAGAUCCUCGGCUGAAGUGGGGAAGUGAUGUCUACUAAUGAUAUCAUCUAUUCUGCUUAAUUAUUCAUUUAUUUACGAAGUUUUUUCUGAGCAGCUGCUAUGUGUCGGGCUCUGAGGAUACAAUGGAAAGCAAGAAGACACACAAGCUCUGCUAUCACGGAGCAAAGAGUUUAUGAGAGAGAGAGUAAUGUUAAUCAUGGAAGGACACUAACAAAUGAACAAUUGUAUAACUUAGCCAAGGACCAUGAAGGAGAGAUACAGAGCUAAAUGAGGGGGAUUUGACAUAGGCAAGGAAGGAGUUGAAGUCCACAGGAGGAACAGCAGAGGAUGAAGAAGCCUAACCACAUGGGGGUUUAUAUGACAUGUUAUGAAAUUGAGUUUUAUCCUAAAUUUAAUAGGAAGUAGGGAAUAGUGCAUAAUGAGAUUUGUGUUUCCAAAAGUUUACCUUGGUGACCAUAUGGAAAGUGAAUCAGAAUGAGACAGAGGCAUACAAGAAGAUGUUAAAUGUCAGUGAUUCACAUUGUAUAAAAUCCCAAAGGGAUAGUCUCCAUCAUGAUUCUUUCUUUGAAUCUCAGAAAAAAGGUUGAUGCCUUUUUCAUAGGUACCCAAAAAGUAGAGGAAGAGAGAAUUCCUAAUGAGGUAAACUUUUCCUUUUACAGUUACUGUCAAUACUAAGAACCAAGAGAUACCACAUAGACCUCUGAAUUUAUCCUUCUCCUCUUCAAAUUUUGCUGUGACCACAAGAGAACAAAGCUAUCCAUGUUUACUGCCUUAUGUUAUGGGCAGUCACAUGCCCUCUAAUUGAGAGGGUUGCAUGCCAAGCUAAUCACCUAGCCUCAUAAAAUCUCACUGGUUAUUACACUGAUGGGGCUAGGCUACAAUGCAAUUAGAGUUAUGAAACUCACCUCUAAACCUUAGGUCCAUCAAGGACAGAAUAAAGAAAACCACCUCUAGCUAGAGAGCUCUCCUGUCAACCAACCUCUUAAAAAGGUAAGGUGGUGAGUUUAUUCAUAUUUCCUUCUGCAAAUAUUUAUUCAACUCUUAUUAUGUACUAGGUACCCCCUAAGUAUUAAAUGUUGAACUAAGCCUGCCCUCGAGAGGGACAUCUGCACUGUCAUGUGAUUUAAAGGGAAAGGCUAAUGUUUAUGGACCUACUGUGUACUUGGUAUUUUAUGCAGAUUAUCUGAAUUGGUCAUCAAGACAACUCCACAAAAUAGAAAUUCUGAUCUCCACUUUGGGAGAGUUAGGAUUUGAACCUAGAUCCAUUGACCACAAAGCCCUUGCCCUUCCAUUACAGUAUGCUAUUCAUCAACAUGGAGCCCCUUUUUCAGAGAUAGCUCCCCAAGAAGGGGAAGCUGCCAAGAUUCACCCUCUCUCCAGUGCCCUCGUUUUAAAACCAAACCAGGAUUUCUGAAUCUCAGCGCUAUCGACAAUUAAGACUGGAUAAUUCUUUGUUGUGUGGGGCUAUCCUGUCACUAGAUGCCAGUAGUACUCCAUUUAUGGACGGUGCCAAAUGUCCUUGGGGAGCACAAUCGUGCCUGGUAGAAAACAAAGGCAAGAGGCCAAAGGACUGAACCCUGAGGUCCACCAACAUUUGAAAGGAAGGCAGAGGAAGAGAAACUAUUAUGAAUGACCAAAUGAGGAGAGUUUCAAGAAAGAACUGUUUGGCAAAGUCGGCUGUUCCAGAGAAGUUACAUAAAAUGGACAGAAAAAAAAUCUUUGACUUUGGUGAUGAGGAGGUUCUUGGUGACCUAAGAGAGAAACGAAGCCUGUAUGAGAUUGAGGCCCAGACAAGAGGAAACUAUUUAAAAGCAGUGUUCAGACCCUGGUGGGAAGUGGUCACUGCCUUCCAGAUUCUUAGCCACCUCACCCACUUUGGGCAGCUGACUUGUCGAGGAGCAGAUUUACAUGCAAUAUGCUAAGAUGGAAAUAAUGCUUUAAAAAAGAAAACACACAAUCAUUUUGCGGAAGACUUGAGAAAAACGUUUUCAGCUUAAAGAGAAAAAAGCAGUGAGACCCCUUCGGCGUCUGUGCAAAACUGUUUGCUUGGCUCUGGAGGUGAUAAAAAUAAUUUAUGAAGCUCUACAUUUUUAGCAAGAGGAAAUGACCUCAGCUUUUGGCAAUCUGAUGCAGUUAGUGAAGCCUCUCUCUACUACUUUUAUGGAUUUCCUUGAGCUGCAUAUUCUGUGACCUGUAUUUCAGAUUUAUUGGCAGAUACAUAAGCCACAUUAAGUAACAUAAAAUGCAGUGAAUGCAUCAAACAACUCAGCGGGGACCGACUGACAGCGGGCGAGAGGCUGCCUCUUCGAAGAAGUCAUUCCGAAUCUGAUACCUGUUUAUGCAUUUGUCUAACCAGGCUCUGGAUUUUUAUUUUAAAUAAAGACAUUAUUUCAAAACAAAA
ensembl:lncRNA